UACGAAGGGGGCUAGCGUUGCUCGGAAUCACUGGGCGUAAAGGGUGCGUAGGCGGGUCUUUAAGUCAGGGGUGAAAUCCUGGAGCUCAACUCCAGAACUGCCUUUGAUACUGAGGAUCUUGAGUUCGGGAGAGGUGAGUGGAACUGCGAGUGUAGAGGUGAAAUUCGUAGAUAUUCGCAAGAACACCGGUGGCGAAGGCGGGUCUCUGGGCCGUAACUGACGCUGAGGAGCGAAAGCGUGGGGAGCAAACAGG
rnacentral:rRNA from 1 species